rfam:Nippostrongylus brasiliensis genome assembly, scaffold: NBR_scaffold0000697
AUAUGGGUAGCACAGUGGUUAAUGCAGUAUGCCGGAAACAGAAAGACGCGGGCUCAAUUUCCGUCCCAUGUG